rnacentral:rRNA from 1 species
UGGGGAAUAUUGCACAAUGGGCGCAAGCCUGAUGCAGCCAUGCCGCGUGUGUGAAGAAGGCCUUCGGGUUGUAAAGCACUUUCAGCGAGGAGGAAGGUGGUGAGCUUAAUACGCUCAUCAAUUGACGUUACUCGCAGAAGAAGCACCGGCUAACUCCGUGCCAGCAGCCGCGGUAAUACGGAGGGUGCAAGCGUUAAUCGGAAUUACUGGGCGUAAAGCGCACGCAGGCGGUUUGUUAAGUCAGAUGUGAAAAUCCCCGGGCUCAACCUGGGAACUGCAUUUGAAACUGGCAAGCUAGAGUCUCGUAGAGGGGGGUAGAAUUCCAGGUGUAGCGGUGAAAUGCGUAGAGAUCUGGAGGAAUACCGGUGGCGAAGGCGGCCCCCUGGACGAAGACUGACGCUCAGGUGCGAAAAGCGUGGGGAGCAAAACAGGAUUAGAUACCCUGGUAGUCCACGCUGUAAAACGAUGUCGAUUUUGGAGGUUGUGCCCUUGAGGCGUGGCUUCCGGAGCUAACGCGUUAAAUCGACCGCCUGGGGAGUACGGCCGCAAGGUU